rnacentral:tRNA from 1 species
AGGGUUGUGGCUCCGUGGAAGAGCUUCUUGCCUUGCAUACCAAAGGUCCCAGGUUCGAUCCUGAGCAUCUCCA